UUUGGGGCGUGUGAGUGGUGUUUGGAUCGUCCCUGCCGGCUGGCUCCGUGCCCGUCCACCGAACGGUCGGCAGGCGAUCCCCCUCGGUCUCGCGAGGUGGUAUGGUUCCCCAGAGGCCGGUUCUUGUGCUGCCUACCCCUUCAGGGGAAGCUGGCCGCUCGAUGCAAGCCUCCAUCCGGCGCCUUCCAACGGGCGCAGGAGGACAACGGAGCACCCCCCGCGUUCCACCGAUCCAUCUCGGUCGCGUGGCCCGCGGGGACGUGCGAUGCUCUCGGACCCAGCGAACGCCGUGGGCGAGGACUCACGUCCCAGUCCCGAAAUGAAAGCUCCGAUAUAGUGCAUGACGGCCGCCCCCGCCCCCCGAUCGCCCCGGCGGCGCGGGGGCGAGGCGCGGCGUCGCGGAGGAAUGCUACCUGGUUGAUCCUGCCAGUAGUCAUAUGCUUGUCUCAAAGAUUAAGCCAUGCAUGGUGUAAGUAA
rnacentral:misc_RNA from 1 species